rnacentral:rRNA from 1 species
UAAGCGGAGGAAAAGAAACUAACAAGGAUUCCCCUAGUAACGGCGAGUGAAGCGGGAAGAGCUCAAAUUUGAAAUCUGGUAGCCUUCGGUUGCCCGAGUUGUAAUCUAGAGAAGUGUUUUCCGCGUUGGCCCAUGUACAAGUCCCUUGGAACAGGGCGUCAUAGAGGGUGAGAAUCCCGUCCUUGACAUGGACCCCCAAUGCUUUGUGAUACACUUUCAACGAGUCGAGUUGUUUGGGAAUGCAGCUCAAAAUGGGUGGUGAAUUCCAUCUAAAGCUAAAUAUUGGCGAGAGACCGAUAGCGAACAAGUACCGUGAGGGAAAGAUGAAAAGCACUUUGGAAAGAGAGUUAAACAGUACGUGAAAUUGUUGAAAGGGAAACGAUUGAAGUCAGUCAUGCUCUUUGGAUUAAGCCGUUCUGCGGUGUAUUUCAUUGAGCGGGGUCAACAUCAGUUUUGAUCGCUGGAAAAGGGCAGGAGGAAGGUAGCACUCUCGGGUGAACUUAUAGCCUCUUGUCGUAUACAGUGAUUGGGACUGAGGAACGCAGCAUGCCUUUUGGCCGGGAUUCGUCCACGUACAUGCUUAGGAUGUUGACAUAAUGGCUUUAAACGACCCGUCUUGAAACACG